UACGUAGGGGCUAGCGUUAUCCGGAAUUACUGGGCGUAAAGGGUGCGUAGGCGGUUCAGUAAGUUAGAGGUGAAAUCCCGUGGCUCAACCACGGACCUGUCUCUGAUACUGCUGGGCUAGAGAUUGGUUGCUGUGGGCGGAAUGUGUGGUGUAGCGGUGAAAUGCUUAGAUAUCACACAGAAUAUCGAUUGCGAAGGCAGCUCACAAAGCCAAGAUUGACGCUGAGGCACGAAAGUGUGGGGAUCAAACAGGAUUA
rnacentral:rRNA from 1 species